AACGAACGCUGGCGGCAGGCUUAACACAUGCAAGUCGAACGCUUCCUUCGGGGUGAGUGGCAGACGGGUGAGUAACGCGUGGGAACGUGCCCUACAGUUCGGGAUAACCCACGGAAACUUGGGCUAAUACCGGAUACGUGCGAGAGCAGAAAGAUUUAUCGCAGAAGGAUCGGCCCGCGUCUGAUUAGCUAGUUGGGGGGGUAAUGGCCCACCAAGGCGACGAUCAGUAGCUGGUCUGAGAGGAUGAUCAGCCACAUUGGGACUGAGACACGGCCCAAACUCCUAAGGGAGGCAGCAGUGGGGAAUAUUGGACAAUGGGCGCAAGCCUGAUCCAGCCAUGCCGCGUGAGUGAUGAAGGCCUUAGGGUUGUAAAGCUCUUUCGUCCGGGACGAUAAUGACGGUACCGGAAGAAGAAGCCCCGGCUAACUUCGUGCCAGCCGCCGCCGUAAAAC
rnacentral:rRNA from 1 species